AAAAGGGUUGGACUUCAGAAUUCUCUUUUCUCCAAACUUUCAAACGACUGCUCUUCGACAUCAUCUUCUCAACUGGAUGUGCAAUUUUAGAAUCUGCUUUUACCUGGGCUAAUACUACUUUAAUUGACUUUUCUCAUACAGAUUUUAUAGAUUGAAAAUUUAGUCAGCAUUUGGAAUGCUGGAACAUACAUUUUCACAUAAAGAGCUCGGCUAUUUUCCUUAACAUUCAACAAGCUAGACACAUGUAAAGCUUACAAAUCAAACCAAGAAAGAUUCUGGUUUUGUUUGCCUACCUCCUCUGGACCUCUGGUGGUUGUAUUCUCUUAUGUUUCUCUUUGUUCUUGAUUCGCUUGAUGUUACUUCUAUGCAUAACUGAGGUGUUUCAUGGGGUAAUUUGUUUUAAUUUAUAAUUUUAUGCAGGAUUUUGGGAUUUGAACUUAGGUUUUGAAAUUGGGGGUUUCUAUGUAUUUACAACUGCAAGAUUUGAAUCUCAGACGUGAAUAUUGAUGAUUCCAUCUGAACCGGCAGGGAUUAGAUACAAAUGUAGUCGAUUAUCCAAUAUUUUUGGGAUUUAACUAGAUAAGUCCUUUUCCCCUUAUGGAUAUGAUUAUAAUCAACUAUGCAUGUCUCUUAGUUUCUUUUUGAGUUUCAAAGAGAUAGAACUAUGAGCGUGGAACUCAUUCGAAACUUUACUAGAUAUCUUCACUCAUCAACAUGGAUAGCUACAGACAAGUAGGGAAAUGGAUAACUUCUUAGUGUUUCUUCAGAUUUUUCACCCAUGCAUUUGUUAUUUUACAGUUAGAAAAACCAAUUGAACCUCCAUAUUGCAAUUAGUCCUUAUGAAGGUUGUUUGGUGAAAAUUUAAUACAUGAGCCAUUACCAAAUAUAAUGCUCUCAAUUUUUUUAUUUCAUAGGUCUUUGAAAGUGGAAAUUACUCGUGCAUUGUGGGGAAAAAGGGACAACGCUUCAACUAUAAGAGCGUUCUGAGGAGCUCAAUUUAUAGAUGUUGAGUCUAGCCAUGUGCUCUAUUUGGAAAGAGUCACUAUUACUGAAGAAACAUUGUCUAAGGAAGCCUAGCCUACUAUCCCAAAAGAGGAGAGGGGAGACGAGAAGAAUGUGAAUGCAAAAGGAAAGUUAAAAGUCCUUAGCUCUGCUGGCUGGAGAACUGAAAAUCUAAAACUACAGAAUGGCUGCAACAAUGUCACUUUCUGCGUUCACAGACAGGGAAAGAACUAAAAGAGGACAAAGCUUGGUUUACUUUUUAGUAAAAGCUGGUAGACUUACAAACUAAGGCCCGUGAAAGAGGUUGAUGUGAAGAACCAUUGAAGUGAUUUAUAUAACGACAUCAAGUUAGCCACAAAAGGUGUAAGGGAAGCAGCUUGAAAUACUUUAGCUGGUCAUAGUAACAACCAUGGUACAUGCUUUUGUUAAUGUGCAAAAGGUUAUGCUUAGCGGCUAUGUUACUCGGACUCUUCAAAAAUGGACACGGGUGCGUGUCGGAUCCUCCAAAAGUAGUGCAUUUUUGAAGGAUCCGACACGGGUGCGACAUCAUUUUUGGAGAGUCCGAGCAACAUAGCUUAGCGGUACUCUAUGUGUUCUUGUCAGCCAAGAGAGGGGAUACCACUUCUGCAAUGGAAGCUUCUUCUUUACUUUUCAAAUCACAAUAAUUGAUUCUUUGUAUUAUGUUGUAGGAGGAGUUUGUGGUGGUUAGCUUCAAAAUGUAUAGAAAUUGGAGACUGAGUAAUUUUACCCACUUCCUAAUAAGAAAAAUAAUAAGCUUAACAUUUUAUAUUCCUACUACCACAUUUUCAAGUCCUUAAACUUUUCGCAUGAUUGUUCUUUUUUGUUCCCUAAACUUUAGUUUCUGAACAUGUGAUGGUGCUGCUUUUAGUUCUCAAUUAAGUGCCUUCAUGUAUAAUAGACACAAUGUAGGGAAGAAGAUCUAUUUUUCUCUUUUUAAAGGUCUAAGCCAGCGAUACGAACAUUUGCAAUACAAUUAAAUGAAACUUGGAUGGCAUAAUGAUAAGCCUGCAAGAUCUGCUGUCUAUAUCCUUCUAUAUUAUCUUUUCUAUUCCUUUGUAAAUGUUAUAUUGGUUUCAGUUAUGUUGAAAAGCCAAGAAAGUCGUCAGAUGCAUGUGGGUUUCUGUUUUGAGAUCUAUAUAAAGUGGUAAAAGUUAUUGAUUUCUUGAUGGAAAAUGGGUAAUUUCCAUUUCUUGGGUACAAAUAAUUAGAUCAGACGAACUGGAUUUGUUGUGGAGUUAUUCUGCAAUGAAUUUCACUUAAUCUACCAUCUGAUUCCUUUUCAAAAGGCUUUGAAUGGGGUACAAUAGUUUUGUGAUUUAUCAGUAUUUUAAAAUAUAUUAAAAAGAAAAAGAAGAAAGCUUUCUUUUCUGUUGGAAAUUGGAAACGGAUAUGUCCUGCGUAAAACUUCUUGGAUUUCUGGGUACUGGUUAAUACUGAAUAUUGUACUUUACGUCCUCUUAUAUUAUCUUUAAUCAACCGGAUCCACCGAAGCUAUUUCCUCGAGACAGAAUGUCGUAAGAAGGAUAAAAUAUAUUUUUGGCUCUCUUCUAUCUAUGUUUCAAUAUCUUUUAAUUGAUUGGUGUUUACUUUCU